UACGAAGGGGGCUAGCGUUGCUCGGAAUCACUGGGCGUAAAGCGCACGUAGGCGGCUUGUUAAGUCAGGGGUGAAAUCCUGGAGCUCAACUCCAGAACUGCCUUUGAUACUGGCGAGCUCGAGUCCGGGAGAGGUGAGUGGAACUGCGAGUGUAGAGGUGAAAUUCGUAGAUAUUCGCAAGAACACCAGAGGCGAAGGCGGCUCACUGGCCCGGUACUGACGCUGAGGUGCGAAAGCGUGGGGAGCAAACAGG
rnacentral:rRNA from 1 species